rnacentral:rRNA from 1 species
GAUGAACGCUGGCGGCGUGCCUAAUACAUGCAAGUCGAGCGAACAGACCAGGAGCUUGCUCCCCUGAUGUUAUCGCCCGACGGGUGAGUAACACGUGGUCAACCUACCUAUAGGACUGGGAUAAUUUUGGGAAACCGUAGCUUAUACCGGAUAAUAUAUUGAACCGCAUGGUUCAAUAGUGAAAGAAGCUUUUGGUUACACUUAUAGAUGGCUCCGCGCCGCAUUAGCUAGUUGGUAAGGUGACGGCUUACCAAGGCAACGAUGCGUAGCCGACCUGAGAGGGUGAUCGGCCACACUGGAACUGAGACACGGUCCAGACUCCUACGGGAGGCAGCAGUAGGGAAUCUUCCGCAAUGGGCGAAAGCUUGACGGAGCAACGCCGCGUGAGUGAUGAAGGUCUUCGGAUCGUAAAACUCUGUUAUUAGGGAAGAACAAAUGUGUAAGUAACUAUGCACGUCUUGACGGUACCUAAUCAGAAAGCCACGGCUAACUACGUG